UCUAGCUUUCCUAUUGUCGUC
rnacentral:siRNA from 1 species